GAGUGUGAAGGUGAUCGGGCUGUGACAUCUGUCACCCCACCGAUUGCCAGGGUUGAUCUGACUGGCCAGGCGGGUGUCCCCCUCCUCCAUCCCCACUCCACAUGUGUCCCUCCCAGAGCUGCAUACUGCACCCAGGAUGGUGACUUUUCCCGAAAGAGGAGGAUGUUCUUUGGUCAGGAGCAUGGCGGUACCUGUGCUCUCCUGCUAGAACCCCUCCCACAAACCUUCAGGGUCCAUUUGUGGAAAGGAGGGUAGUCAAACUUCCAAUACAUCCAAAUGAGGUGCUGCUUGUGGCAGCCUGACUUUCUUU
rnacentral:snRNA from 2 species